GCGAAGGUGGCGGAAUUGGUAGACGCGCCAGACUAAGGAUCUGGUGGAGUAAUCUGUGGGGGUUCGAGUCCCCCCCUUCGCA
rnacentral:tRNA from 1 species